UUUAUUUGGCAAAUAUUUUUAUAAUUUCUGUAUAUUUCAACCAAAUAUUUGUAGUGUUUACAUAUACUUGUGACGUAGGUGCUAUAUCAUGUUACACUGCCUGCAUGCUGUUUAGCCUGUUUGAUACUUUAGUAGUAGUUGCCUAGCUCUCGUAGUAAUAAAAAUGUAAAAACAAUAUAGUGUUGCUCUAUGAGUUUUAAUAAAUAAAUGGUAUAUUAAGACAUUGGCUAUGAGCCUGUACAGAGAACAUUUAAACAUUACAAUAUUCAACCCGUUUGACGAUUUUAGUUCCUGCUAUUAUAUCAAAAAUAACUUUCUCGUAUACAAAUAAAGUCGAUGCAAACAUAAAAGUGCCUAUAUUAAAGUUAAUGAAUUGUGACAUUUUUCAGGUGACGCCUUCUUCCACCACGGAAACACAUUACAUCGGAGCGAAGAGAACAAAAGCAAAAAUGGGCGUUUGGGAUUCAUGUCGUGCUUUAAUGGGACACACAAUUCACCUGUGUUUAAAACAGGAUACCCUUCAUACAACAAACUAGAAAAGGUACCAAACGAAGCCAUAAAGCAGUGUACCAACUGUACAGAUUUCAGUGGGAAGGGAUUUAGAGAUAGAAGUGUGAACAAUAUGAAAAGAAAGCCGGAUAACCAGAAACCAUCAGCAGAAAAUGGGAAAAAGGCACUCAAAUCAUAGAAAAAUAUGACAGACAAGUUUAUCUUUGCAACAGUUCUAUGACUGCUGUGCAAAGUACAUUAAUUUGUUUUAUAUGCAUCAUACCAAUAAAAAAUUUAGACAGACUGAAAA
rnacentral:lncRNA from 1 species